UUGUGUGCUUUUGAUACGCUGAAAGCUUAGGAGCUGUAGUAAAACUGUAUCACCGCAGUUUGUUGGCGGUGGUUAUCCGGAGUAGUGUAGAAUACAGUUACGCUCGGACGGAGACGCAGAGCUUAUUUUUUUACAGCAGUGUCUAGGCUGUUUCAGACUGUCGGGUGCCGUCGGGGUUGACGGUGGACCAGAUUGCGAGUUUUGCAUCAGCUUGUGCCGAGAGCACGUGAGUCUUAAUUGUUAGACCAGUUGGACCCUGUUUACUUGAUUAUAACCUGUGAGAGCCUGAUUGAAGUAGAGAUACGCUUGCAUACUCGGUUGGGUA
rnacentral:lncRNA from 1 species